rnacentral:rRNA from 1 species
UGACGGUACCCUGCUAGAAAGGAGCCGCUAACUUCGUGCCAGAAGCGUCGGUAAUACGGGGGCUCCAAGCGUUAUCCGGUGUUAUUGGGCGUAAAGAGUCGUGUAGGUGGUUGGGUAAGUUAUCUUUCAAAUAUCUUUGCUUAACAAAGAGGAGGGGGAUAAUACUGCUCGACUAGAAUUUUCUCAAGGGAGAUCGGAACUGAGGGAGGAGUAGUGAAAUGCGUUGAUACCCUCGGGAACACCAGUGGCGUAAGCGGAUCUCUGGGAGAAGAUUGACACUGAGACACGAAAGCUAGGGGAGCGAAGCAGAUUAGAGACCUGCGUAGUCCUAGCCGUAAACGCAUGCUUGCUAGCUGCAUGAAUCUACCUUCGGGUGGUAUCGUGUGGCGAAGGUAACCCGUUAAGCAAGCCGCCUGGAAAGUACGGCCGCAAGGCUGAAAUUCAAAGGAAUUGGCGGGGAGGCACACAACCAGUGGAACAUGUGGUUUAAUUCGAGACUAACCGAAGAACCUCACCAGGGUUUGACAUGUAGCUGCACGUCUUAAGAAAUUAAGACUCUCUUGAAGGUGCUACACAGGUGCUGCAUGGCUGUCGUCAGCUCGUUCCGUGAGGAGUGCCCUUAAGUGGGACAACGAGCGCAACCCCUAUUACAUGUUAGAAAUGUCAUGUAAGACUGCCUUGCCAUUUGGCGGGGAGGAAGGAGGGGCAGACGUCAAGUCCGCAUGGUCCUUAUGCCCUGGGCUACACACAUGUUACAAUGAGUACGGCAAUGAGUCUGUCGCGAGCACGUAAGUGUAAANAAUCUCUUAAAUGUACUCUCAGUGGGGAUUGAGGUCUGCAACUCGACCUCAUGAACACGGAAUUGGUAGUAAUCGCGGGUCAGCUAUACCGCGGUGAAUACGUUCUGCCUUCUUGCACACACCGCCCGUCAAACCAGCAAAGUCGAUUGUAUCCGACCUCUCUUUUUGAGUGGGA